UAGUCUGGUGCCAGCAGCCGCGGUAAUUCCAGCUCCAAUAGCGUAUAUUAAAGUUGUUGCAGUUAAAACGCUCGUAGUCGGAUUUCGGGGCAGGUUUGCCGGUCUGCCGAUGGGUAUGCACUGGUAGAACUGUCCUUCCUUCCGGAGACGGCGCCUACUCUUAACUGAGCGGGUGUCGGAGACGGAUCGUUUACUUUGAAAAAAUCAGAGUGUUUCAAGCAGGCAGCUCGCUUUUGCAUGGAUUAGCAUGGGAUAAUGAAAUAGGACUUUGGUGCUAUUUUGUUGGUUUCGAACACCGAAGUAAUGAUUAACGGGGACAGUCAGGGGCACUCGUAUUCCGCCGAGAGAGGUGAAAUUCUUAGACCAGCGGAAGACGAACCACUGCGAAAGCAUUUGCCAGGGAUGUUUUCACUGAUCAAGAACGAAAGUUAGGGGAUCGAAGACGAUCAGAUACCGUCGUAGUCUUAACCAUAAACCAUGCCGACUAGGGAUUGGAGGAUGUUCCUAUGUGACUCCUUCAGCACCUUUCGGGAAACUAAAGUCUUUGGGUUCCGGGGGGAGUAUGGUCGCAAGGCUGAAACUUAAAGGAAUUGACGGAAGGGCACCACCAGGAGUGGAGCCUGCGGCUUAAUUUGACUCAACACGGGGAAACUUACCAGGUCCAGACAUUGUGAGGAUUGACAGAUUGAGAGCUCUUUCUUGAUUCGAUGGGUGGUGGUGCAUGGCCGUUCUU
rnacentral:rRNA from 1 species